GCCCUCUCAGAGUCACACCUGGAGGGUUUCCAGUACUUUGCCAUUCUCGGCAAUGAGAGGGAGAGUCAAGUAGAGGCCUAUUCAUUCCAUUCCUAGCUUGGGCAGUGGCUAGUGAGUGGAAGGCAAUCUCCUACAAGU